rnacentral:rRNA from 1 species
GAUGAACGCUGGCGGCGUGCCUAAUACAUGCAAGUCGAGCGAACAGACGAGGAGCUUGCUCCUCUGACGUUAGCGGCGGACGGGUGAGUAACACGUGGAUAACCUACCUAUAAGACUGGGAUAACUUCGGGAAACCGGAGCUAAUACCGGAUAAUAUAUUGAACCGCAUGGUUCAAUAGUGAAAGACGGUUUUGCUGUCACUUAUAGAUGGAUCCGCGCCGCAUUAGCUAGUUGGUAAGGUAACGGCUUACCAAGGCAACGAUGCGUAGCCGACCUGAGAGGGUGAUCGGCCACACUGGAACUGAGGCACGGUCCAGACUCCUACGGGAGGCAGCAGUAGGGAAUCUUCCGCAAUGGGCGAAAGCCUGACGGAGCAACGCCGCGUGAGUGAUGAAGGUCUUCGGAUCGUAAAACUCUGUUAUUAGGGAAGAACAAAUGUGUAAGUAACUAUGCACGUCUGGACGGUACCUAAUCAGAAAGCCACGGCUAACUACGU